GGUCUUUUGGAAUCAGAGUAUUCCCCAGAGUCAGCCAUGUCAAUAUCACCUUUCUCCUGCAUAUGAGCACCCUGUCAUCAUCACCGAUUUUGUCUCUGGAGGAAAUCGAGCACCUAGGCUGCGAACCCCAAAAAAACAAAAACAAAACACUAAAUCAUUAAACAAAAACA